rnacentral:rRNA from 1 species
GACGAACGCUGGCGGCGUGGAUUAGGCAUGCAAGUCGAACGGUAUCAUCCUUUCGGGGGUGAGAGAGUGGCGAACUGGUGAGUAACACGUAGGUUAUCUACCCUCAAGACGGGGACAACCCAGGGAAACUUGGGCUAAUACCGGAUGUGAGCAACUUUUAGUUGUUUGAAAGGUGGCGUAAGCUGUCGCUUGGGGAUGAGCCUGCGUCCUAUUAGUUAGUUGGUGAGGUAACGGCUCACCUAGGCAAUGAUAGGUAGGCGGCCUUAACGGGUGGUCGCCCACACUGGGAUUGAGAUACGGCCCAGACUCCUACGGGAGGCAGCAGUCGAGAAUAGUCUACAAUGGUCGGAAGACUGAUAGUGCGACGCCGCGUGAACGAUGAAUCCCUUCGGGGUGUAAAGUUCUUUUAUAUGUGAGCAGUGCUUUCUUAUAUUUAACAGUAUGGGGAGAGAGAUAUUAGCAUAUGAAUAAGCAACGGCUAACUCCGUGCCAGCAGCCGCGGU